rnacentral:rRNA from 1 species
GACGAACGCUGGCGGCGUGCCUAAUACAUGCAAGUCGAGCGAAGUUUUUCUGGUGCUUGCACCGGAAAAACUUAGCGGCGAACGGGUGAGUAACACGUAAAGAACCUGCCUCAUAGACUGGGACAACUAUUGGAAACGAUAGCUAAUACCGGAUAACAGCAUUAACUGCAUGGUUGAUGUUUAAAAGUUGGUUUUGCUAACACUAUGAGAUGGCUUUGCGGUGCAUUAGCUAGUUGGUGGGGUAAAGGCCUACCAAGGCGACGAUGCAUAGCCGACCUGAGAGGGUGAUCGGCCACACUGGGACUGAGACACGGCCCAGACUCCUACGGGAGGCAGCAGUAGGGAAUCUUCCGCAAUGGGCGAAAGCCUGACGGAGCAACGCCGCGCGAGUGAAGAAGGAUUUCGGUUCGUAAAGCUCUGUUGUUAGGGAAGAAUGAU